UACGGAGGAUCCGAGCGUUAUCCGGAUUUAUUGGGUUUAAAGGGUGCGCAGGCGGAUUUUUAAGUCAGCGGUCAAAUCGUGGGGCUCAAACCCAUCCAGCCGUUGAAACUGGGGAUCUAGAGUGUGCGAGAGGUAUGCGGAAUGCGUGGUGUAGCGGUGAAAUGCAUAGAUAUCACACAGAACCCCGAUUGCGAAGGCAGCAUACCGGUGCACAACUGACGCUCAGGCACGAAAGCGUGGGUAUCGAACAGG
rnacentral:rRNA from 1 species